CAAGCGUAACGUGUCAGAGCAGGGAAUGCGGAGUAUUUUUUUUUAACUGAGUUCUUGGUGGAUCUUAUCGAUUAUAAGACCAAUUGCAGGUGGCAAUGGAGUGCAGGGGUGGUAACCUGUCGACUUGGGGUGGGCACCCUGGCCUGCACUUUCCUCUUGGAUGGGUAAUGCCAAGUCCACCCAUUCUCAUUCUACCUGCACAGUAACUCCAGAACACUUCCGAUGACGAACGUACGUGCGUGACAGUGCUGAGUUACUAGCAUGUCCAUGUAGACACACCAUGACAUUUACUUGCCUGAAGAGGGGCCACUAUAAAUUGCUAAACAAUCUU